CUCCACCAACAGAGGAUACAACAAAGCUACAAAGAGCCCAAACAACCAAAACAACGACCAACAAGGAGAUCGGGUAGGAUGGUAAGUUCAAAUCAACAACAUUGCUCAUAAAGAGACUUAGAGAUAAGGGUGAAUCACCGAAAGGAAACAGCGUCUCCUGAGUCAAACAGUCAACAAAAGCUGAACGGGAACCGUCUUGGACAACAAUCCUCGCUUCUGCAAGCAGAACAAUCUUGACAACCAUGCUCCCUAUAACAAUACCACUAUA
rnacentral:lncRNA from 1 species